UACGUAGGGUGCAAGCGUUUGUCCGGAAUUAUUGGGCGUAAAGGGCUCGUAGGCGGUCUGUUGCGUCGGGAGUGAAAACUUACAGCUUAACUGUGAGCGUGCUUUCGAUACGGGCAGACUUGAGGCAUUCAGGGGAGAACGGAAUUCCUGGUGUAGCGGUGAAAUGCGCAGAUAUCAGGAGGAACACCGGUGGCGAAGGCGGUUCUCUGGGAAUGUCCUGACGCUGAGGAGCGAAAGCAUGGGUAGCAAACAGG
rnacentral:rRNA from 1 species